rnacentral:rRNA from 1 species
UACGGGGGGAGCAAGCGUUGUUCGGAUUUACUGGGCGUAAAGGGCGCGUAGGCGGCCACCGCAAGUCGGUUGUGAAAUCUCCGGGCUUAACCCGGAAAGGUCAAUCGAUACUGCGGGGCUAGAGUGCAGAAGGGGCAACUGGAAUUCUCGGUGUAGCGGUGAAAUGCGUAGAUAUCGAGAGGAACACCAAUGGCGAAGGCAGCUCGCUGGGACGUGACUGACGCUGAGACGCGAAAGCGUGGGGAGCAAACAGG